AGUGAACGCUGGCGGUAGGCCUAACACAUGCAAGUCGAACGGCAGCACAGGAGAGCUUGCUCUCUGGGUGGCGAGUGGCGGACGGGUGAGGAAUACAUCGGAAUCUGCCCAGUCGUGGGGGAUAACGUAGGGAAACUUACGCUAAUACCGCAUACGACCCUCGGGUGAAAGAGGGGGAUCGCAAGACCUCUCGCGAUUGGAUGAGCCGAUGUCGGAUUAGCUAGUUGGCGGGGUAAUGGCCCACCAAGGCGACGAUCCGUAGCUGGUCUGAGAGGAUGAUCAGCCACACUGGGACUGAGACACGGUCCAGACUCCUACGGGAGGCAGCAGUGGGGAAUAUUGGACAAUGGGCGCAAGCCUGAUCCAGCCAUACCGCGUGGGUGAAGAAGGCCUUCGGGUUGUAAAGCCCUUUUGUUGGGAAAGAAAUCUUUCAGGCUAAUACCCUGGGAGGAUGACGGUACCCAAAGAAUAAGCACCGGCUAACUUCGUG
rnacentral:rRNA from 1 species